AAAACUUGCCACCUGCUGUAUUAUAGAUCCAAACCAAACUAUCUAAGACUCAUCAGUGUACUAUCGGUGACCUAUCAACAUCGUCGAAGAAAGGAACAUAUAUGAUAACGACUAAUGGCUAAUCUUUAACCAUCACUUAACUGCUGUACGCUAACUGUCUCGAACUACUCUAUGAAUGGCUAUCCGUCUCAGUGCUCCACCAGCUUCUGCUGCACACCCUAU
rnacentral:rRNA from 1 species